CGGCGCCGUGUUCAUACGGGAAAACCUAAUAAUUAAAUUAAAUGUUUCGUUGUUUUUGAAUGGUCGACCGGACGUUUUUAAAACUCUUAAAAAUUUAUAUUUAUUUGAUAUGGGAAUUUACAAUCAAAUCAACAACCCUAAUACCGUGUAGUACAAGCGUCUAAUCUACGGACGGACGGACACGGCGGGAAUAUUGAGUGGUGUUCAAGAAUUACGAUUAGAAAUCCAAAACGGAACCCCGACGGU